CCUACGGGUGGCAGCAGUGGGGAAUAUUGGGCAAUGGGCGCAAGCCUGACCCAGCAACGCCGCGUGAAGGAAGAAGGCUCUCGGGUUGUAAACUUCUUUUCUCAGGGACGAAAAAAGUGACGGUACCUGAGGAAUAAGCCACGGCUAACUACGUGCCAGCAGCCGCGGUAAUACGUAGGUGGCAAGCGUUAUCCGGAUUUACUGGGUGUAAAGGGCGUGUAGGCGGGACGGCAAGUCAGAUGUGAAAACCACGGGGUCAACCUGUGGCCUGCAUUUGAAACUGUAGUUCUUGAGUACUGGAGAGGCAGACGGAAUUCGUGGUGUAGCGGUGAAAUGCGUAGAUAUUAGGAGGAACACCAGUGGCGAAGGCGGCUUACUGGACUGUAACUGACGUUGAGGCUCGAAAGCGUGGGGAGCGAACAGGAUUAGAUACCCUAGUAGUC
rnacentral:rRNA from 1 species